GGUAUUAGCUAUCUUUUAAUGUUAUUGAGUGUUUGACUAUUUCUCAUUCCAGAAUCACAGAUGGAAAAGUCCAUUUUUGACCAAUGGGAGCAGGACGAAUCUUGUUUUAUAUCAACAAAUGCGUGUGAAGAAGUAGAAAAAAUAAUCAAAAGCAGGAACCUGGUUAUAGUGGGUGGUCACUCAGGAUCCGGAAAGUCAGCCAUUAUUCAACACAUCGCACUCAAAUACAGAAAGCAGGGCUGGACCGUAAGACGAGUAACGGAGGUAAAAGAAAUUGUGAAUGAAUAUUCUUCAAGUCGAUUUCAAAAGAAUAAAACCAUUUGUGUUUUUGAUGAUCCACUGGGAAAAGAAUCCUUUGAUGAAAUAUUGAACAAUUCAUGGCAAAGAUAUGAGGAAGAAAUAACAACUUACUUAAAGACAGCAAAACUUUUUAUGUCAUGCAGGAAUUACAUUAUUUCUGAGAAAAACAAAGAAUACACCGAAGAGUUUAAACAUGGGUUAAACCUCUGUGGAUUUAAUAGUAUGGCACCUUUUGAAGUAGGCAACAAUCUUGACUCCCUGAACGAAUAUUUGGUCAAGAAAGUAGGCGACACGUACCAUUUUUAUCAUGACUUUGUAAUGGAAGUUACUACGCAUGUGUUUGGAACAGAUUAUCCCACUGAAACAAUAAAAUACGCCGAUAUUGGCUUCCUCAGAAGAAGAGUAAAAUUGGGAAAUUUUGACAAACACGACGACUCGUUCACUAUUUAUCUAAGUGACAGAUACAUUGAGAAACUUGGAGAAAGGCUUUAUACUGAACUGUUUGGAGAACGCGUGGUAGAUGUCGUACUCAACCCUUGUCUAAAGAAUGAAAAACUGGUAACGAUAUCCGAGAAAACGAUGACUAUAACCAUAGGGAAACAGGUGCAGAACGAAGGGAUAAAACUGUACAACUUUUACUGAGUAAUGGAGCAGACAUUAAUUUAUGUGAGGAGGACGGAGCCAGUCCUCUCUAUAUAGCUUGUCAAAACGGACAUAAUAGCACUGUACAACUUUUACUGAGUAAUGGAGCAGACAUUAAUUUAUGUCUAGAGGACGGAGCCGGUCCUCUCUAUAUAGCUUGUCAACACGGACAUGAUAGCACUGUACAACUUUUACUGAGUAAUGGAGCAGACAUUAAUUUAUGUACAGAGGACGGAGUCAGUCCUCUAUAUAUGGCUUGUCAAAACGGCCAUGGUAGCACUGUACAACUUUUACUGAGUAAUGGAGCCGACAUUAAUUUAUGUCUAGAGGACGGAACCAGUCCUCUCUAUAUAGCUUGUCAACACGGACAUAAUAGCACUGUACAACUUUUACUGAGUAAUGGACCAGACAUUAAUUUAUGUCUAGAGAACGGAACCAGUCCUCUCUAUAUAGCUUGUCAACACGGACAUGAUAGCACUGUACAACUUUUACUGAGUAAUGGAGCAGACAUUAAUUUAUGUAGAGAGAACGGAACCAGUCCUCUCUAUAUAGCUUGUCAAAACGGACAUGAUAGCACUGUACAACUUUUACUGAGUAAUGGAGCAGACAUUAAUUUAUGUAGAGAGAACGGAGGCAGUCCUCUCUAUAUAGCUUGUCAAAACGGACAUGAUAGCACUGUACAACUUUUACUGAGUAAUGGAGCAGACAUUAAUUUAUGUAGAGAGAACGGAGCCAGUCCUCUCUAUAUAGCUUGUCAAAACGGACAUGAUAGCACUGUACAACUUUUACUGAGUAAUGGAGCAGACAUUAAUUUAUGUCGAGAGAACGGAACCAGUCCUCUCUCUAUAGCUUGUCAAAACGGACAUAAUUGCACUGUACAACUUUUACUGAGUAAUGGAGCAGACAUUAAUUUAUGUGACAAGGACGGAGCCAGUCCUCUCUUUAAAGCUUGUCAAAACGGACAUAAUAGCACUGUACAACUUUUACUGAGUAAUGGAGCAGACAUUAAUUUAUGUCUAGAGGACGGAGCCAGUCCUCUCUAUAUAGCUUGUGAAAACGGACAUAAUAGCACUGUACAACUUUUACUGAGUAAUGGAGCAGACAUUAAUUUAUGUCUAGAGGACGGAGCCAGUCCUCUCUAUAUAGCUUGUGAAUACGGACAUAAUAGCACUGUACAACUUUUACUGAGUAAUGGAGCAGACAUUAAUUUAUGUGACAAGGACGGAGCCAGUCCUCUCUUUAUAGCUUGUCAAAACGGACAUAAUAGCACUGUACAACUUUUACUGAGUAAUGGAGCAGACAUUAAUUUAUGUCUAGAGGACGGAACCAAUCCUCUCUCUAUAGCUUGUUUUGAUGGACAUAAUAGCACUGUACAACUUUUACUGAGUAAUGGAGCAGACAUUAAUUUAUGUGACAAGGACGGAGCCAGUCCUCUCUAUGUAGCUUGUGAAAGCGGACAUAAUAGCACUGUACAACUUUUACUGAGUAAUGGAGCAGACAUUAAUUUAUGUCUAGAGGACGGAACCAGUCCUCUCUAUAUAGCUUGUGAAAACGGACGUGAUAGCACUGUACAACUGCUACUGAAUAAUGGAGCAGACAUUAAUUUAUGUGAGGAAAAUGGAGCCGGUCCUCUCUUAAUAGCUUGUUUAAAUGAACGUGAUAGCACUGUACAUCUUUUACUGAGUAAUGGAGCAGACAUUAAUUUAUGUAUAGAGGACGGAACCAGUCCUCUUUUUGUAGCUUGUUUUUACGGACAUGAUAGCACUGUACAACUUUUACUGAGUAAUGGAACAGACAUUAAUUUGCGCAACAAAAACGGAGCCACUCCUCUCUAUAUAGCUUGUCAAAACGUACAUAAUAGCACUGUACAUCUUUUACUGAGUAAUGGAGCAGACAUUAAUCUAUGUACGAAAGACAGAGUCAGCCCUCUUAUUUAUGCUUUUGUGAAUAGACAUUACGAAACUGUUAAUAUUUUACUCAACAACGGUGCAGACUCUAGCCUGGCUUGUGGAUGGGAAGUCAAUCCCGCCUUGGUUGAUUGCUUUGAUAAACAAGACUGCACAGUGGUAUUUUUACUACAAAAAGGCAACAUUUCAAAUAACUUGUAUGACCCGGAUUCGUAUUUUUCUCUGUUUGUAUCAUGUCAGGUAGAAAGAGUGACAAGAACACAAUAUUUUAAGAACGAGUCUAAAUAAUUUCACGUUCAAAAUAACAUAUAUAUAUCAUUUGGUGAACUGAGAUAUUAAAUACGAGUAUGCAAUUCAGGAUAUGGAAGCACACCUGAUGUUGAAAACGGACGUUUUGAUACCCCUGAAGGGUCUGUAUAAUUGUUUUAGAUAAGCAAAGUGAUCUUUAAGGGAAAC
rnacentral:sRNA from 1 species